ensembl:lncRNA
GUACAAGAGGGCCAGGCCUGCUGCUCAGGCUUGGAACUACCCACUGCCCUGCUGCAGAUGGAGCGGAGGCGGCGGGCCCAGGAGCAGGUAGGGGCCGGGGUGGUAGUGGCAAGGGUAGCGUGGGUGACCCCUGACAUCCUGGCACCCUAUCUUCCUACAGCUCCUGUGGGACUUGGAGCUGCUGACUGGGGUGGGGCUGGGCCUCUUCUGGCCCCCCUGGGCCCAGUUCUGCGGUCUGAGGGGCCAGGCCCAGGGUGCAGGGAGCCAGCGCAGCAAGCUCUGCGGGAGGAUGGAAAGCGCUGAGCAGCUGAUGAGAGAGAAUUCCAGGCAGUGCCCAUCAUCCCAGGCUGAGGACUCCCUGAGCCAGAGCCAUCAGCUCCUGGGGGAGUAAGUAUCCCAGGGAAUUUUAUCCACUCCCUGUUGCCACUGAAAGCGACCCAACACUGGACCCUUGGCCCUGUCUCCCUCCACAGCCCUGCCCAGUGACCCCUCCUAGUGCCCCCAGCUCCUCCUGGGCCUCUCAGUUGUACCCAUAUGUUCCCCUGGAGCCCCUGGAAAGGGUAACUGUGUGUUCCAGCUCCUGGGAGCCAGUGGUGGGUACAGGGGUGGGGAAGGCUGCCCUGUACUGAGUUGGGUUGGGUGACAGAGUGGGAAUGCUGAGCAGCCUGCUGGGGGCAGAGAGGCUGGCACACCAGCUGUGCCCCCACCCGCAUCCCCAGCCCAGAUGCAAGGGGUGCAUCUGAGGCGGUCUUUGUACCCCUGCAGGGGGAAAGUAGUGGCCCCAUCAUCAGCCCCGGAUCUGGGUGAAGCCAGGAGUGAUACGGAUGCAAGGCCUGAGAGCCCCAGCAUGCCUGCAGAAGAGCCCACACCAGGUUGCUUACAAGAGCUGAACCUCACCACCAGCAGUUGCUUUGGGGAACCAGGAAAUGCAGAGUUCAAGGACCUGGCCCAGAGGGAAGAGAGGGGGCAGGCAGAGCCCAUGCCCCAGAGGCCCCAUCCACCAUCACCCAGAAGCCCACAGGAGGAACAGCUUGCUCAGGGAGCCCCAGGGUCUUCAGCCCUCCCCUCCCAGGGCCUGCUGGAACCCCAGGAUUCCCCAGAGGCACAGGGCUGGAGCCUGAGUCUGGAGAGAGCAGAACUUCAGAAAGUGCUAAGGACUGAGAUUCCUCAGGGUCAGAGAGGGGAGGCCCUCCAGGGGGAGGACGAAGUUCCUCAGAGGAAGAGAGAGAAGACACACCAGGAUCAGAGCCGGGAGGCCACUCCCGCCCCGAGGGAAGAGGUCCCUGAAGGUCCAAGGACAGAGGCGCCUCAAGGUCAAAGCGGAAGUCGCGCUAAGUGCUGGAGAAAGGACGCCCUCCAGGAGGCCCGGGAGGAUUCUCCCAAUCCCAAGGGCCUUCCGUCUUCCGAGGGCCGAGGCCGUGUCCCCCAAGCCUGGGAGGUGGCUGGGGGAGAAGGGGAGGAAGGCGGCUCCCUGAGAAUUGGGGGGCACUUCUGCAGGUCUCUGGGAGAACAGAUGCCCCGGCCCGGGGGAAAGACCGCUCAGCUGAUGCCGGUUAAGACCGAUGACCAGAAAGCAGAGACCACACCGGCCGCGGGAGAGCAGGGGCCCGCCGGGGAGGGAGCGCGAGCUCGCCUUCCGUCCGCGACCAGGUCUCCGCUCGCAGGCGCGGGAGCCGGGAUGCUAGCGGCCCU